rnacentral:pre_miRNA from 1 species
AAAAAGGCAAAUCCUGGAUUUUCAUGUUCAACUUUGACUGUCCGUCUUAUAUGAAAUUUUUUUAUAAUUCGUAUUUUCAUUGUUGUUAGAUGAUAAAACAUGAUUAAUAUUUUAUGCGUGACUUGUCUUUUUAAUUUUUUUUAUAUAUUUUUAAAUAAGACGGACGGUCAAAUGUUGGACACGGAAACCAGGGUUUGUCUUCUU